ensembl:lncRNA
CUUGACCGUUCCUUGGGCCACUUCAUCCUCUCUUCUCUGCUAAUUUUACACCGCGCACUUUGGCACCUUGACUUAUGAUACCUUUCAGCAUUUUCCUCCCCAAGGACUCACUGCAGUGCUCACCAGAACCAAAUCGUUUUGGAUGAUGACAUAUCACCCCACUUACAGAACCUGGUUUAAUUAUGCAGUGCUUUAUUAAAGCUCCUAGCAUUUCAUCUCAAAUACAUCCAGAACACCUUUAGCAGUCCUGGCAUGAAGCUAAAGCGCAGGGACGUUGAAUCAUCUGUCUAAAGGAUUCUAGCUGGUGUGACC